rnacentral:rRNA from 1 species
AUUAGAUACCCUGGUAGUCCUAGCCGUAAACGUUGGGUGCUAGGUGUGGGCGGAUAUCGACCCCGUCCGUGCCGAAGCUAACGCAUUAAGCACCCCGCCUGGGGAGUACGGCCGCAAGGCUAAAACUCAAAGGAAUUGACGGGGGCCCGCACAAGCGGCGGAGCAUGCGGCUUAAUUCGAUGCAACGCGAAGAACCUUUACCUGGGCUUGACAUGCAGGGCAAAGCCGGUGAAAGCCGGCGCUCUACGGAGCCUGCACAGGUGGUGCAUGGCUGUCGUCAGCUCGUGCCGUGAGGUGUUGCCUUAAGUGGCGCAACGAGCGCAACCCUUGUCCCUAGUUGCCAGCGGGUGAUGCCGGGAACUCUAGGGAGACUGCCGGUGCCAAACCGGAGGAAGGUGGGGAUGACGUCAAGUCAUCAUGCCCCUUAUGUCCAGGGCUGCACGCAUGCUACAAUGCGCGGUACAAAGGGCUGCGAUCCCGCGAGGGGGAGCGAAUCCCAAAAAGCCGCGCUCAGUUCGGAUCGGGGUCUGCAACCCGACCCCGUGAAGUCGGGGUCGCUAGUAAUCGCAGAUCAGCAAUGCUGCGGUGAAUACGUUCCCGGGCCUUGUACACACCGACCGUCACACCACGAAAGUGGGCAACACCCGAAGCCGGUGGCCCAACCCUUGUGGAGGGAGCCGUCGAAGGUGGGGCUCGCGAUUGGGGUGAAGUCGUAACAAGGUAGCCGUACCGGAAGGUGCGGCUGGAUCACCUCCUU